UCUUCAUUUAUCACGCUCUCUCACCGGUCAGAGUGAAGAGAGAGUGUGCAAAAUGAAGAAA
rfam:Pristionchus pacificus strain PS312 contig8650, whole genome shotgun sequence.